rnacentral:lncRNA from 1 species
AAGAGUGUAGGGUUUACAGGACCCUCCCCAUUCACUCAGUACCCUAGCCCUGGAAGCAACACCUAAGAUAACUUGCUUUUCCUAGAACAUGCAGCUUCUCAGCACAUGGCUUUCAGUCCUUGUUCUCUCUAUAUCUCAUUUCAAGGGGACAGUACUCUUUGCAGAAAUCUUAGAGAACCACUAGUAUCUGUGUGAAAAGUUAUUGGCUUGGUCUUUGGCCCUAGGAUCAGUUUUGGUAGUUGUAAUAACAUCCUCCCUAUUCAAAAUCCCAAUUCUUCACGAUGGAAUUUUAAACCUUGGUGAUUCAAGGUAGAAAACCGAAACAGAAAAUCUAAACUGUCCUGACAUCUGCCAGGCCCACUAGAACUGUCACUCUCUGCCCUACUUCUGGAACUUUGAGGAUCAAGACUGCUCUGUCUCUCACUCCCUCUUGCUCUAGAAACAUCUGUUCCCUUUGGGUGUCAAUCUACACUGUUGAACUGGUCUCCAUGCUGGUCUGGAAAAGCAGUUGGAAGUAACUACUCUGGGUUAUGUGCUCUGGAAAUUUUUGAAUAGCAAAAGAUCCCCCCCACCCCUGCACAACACCCACUUUCUGUAUUUUUUUUAAAUUUUUUUUUAAUUUUUGAACUCAAAAUCAAGUGGCAAAAGUGUCUGUUGGAGUGGACUUAUAAGUAGGUCUGGCUCGUAGGAAGAGCCAGGAAGGUCUGUGGAUGGUUUCUUGUCCUGGUGUUAACACUCACCAAAGAAACUGACAAUCAGACUAUUUGGAAGGAAGAGUUUUAUUCCUACAGUUUGUUGGCCUUUCUGUAAGUUCUGGCAAGGCUCUGUGUCGUCUGCAGGAGGCGCCCACUGCUGGCCAGGGAGGGCGCACUGAGGGCGCUGAGAUGCCCAGGAUGGCUCGCCCCACCCACAGUUUUCUUUCUAGCAGUGAGCUCUGCCAAAGCAUCACGCCUCCGGUUUGCAGCAUGCAGAUUCCUUCACCUCACCUCUCACAGCAUCCAGGAGCUAAUAAGAGAAGUUUGAGUUUGUGCAGGAGGAUGGGGACUUAGAAACUUCUAAGGAUGUGUGAGUGUGGGGCACGUAGAGGAGGCAGAAAGCAAAAAAAAAAAAAAAAA